CAUGUACCACAAGUUUGAAUCCUAUUAUUGCACUUUCCUUCAGAUAUGAUUCUGGGUUUAUAAGCUUUUAAUCGUUGAUUUUCAAAGAAUCUGUGGAAAUUACGUUUUUGUAUAACACAAUUUUGAAUUUUGGGCCAUUCCUUACCCUUCCAUACGUUGAUCUUGAUUUUUAUUUUAUUUUUAUGACUAUUACUUGCUACCAGAAUUUUGGAAGAGUUCCACGGAUAUAAUGAAAGAACUAAGGCCAAUCAAAGAAUCUGGCUCAGCCGAAGAUUUUGAGAAAGAGGCGCUGAUUCAGCGGUUUCGAGGCUGCUCAAGCUCAGGAAAAAAUUAUAACAAUGAAAGUAAGAUCGUACGGAGAUUUAGAACCUCCUCUGCAGCUGAAGAAAUCAUAAGCCGGUUCACUUUUUACACACAGCUCCUCAACAAUGGGAACUUUGUAGACGCUGCUUCUG